rnacentral:lncRNA from 10 species
GAUCUCAUUCUGUCACCCAGGCUGGAGUACAGUGGUGCGAUCUCAGCUUACUGCAACCUCUGCCUCGUGGGUUCAAGUGAUUCUUCUGCCUCAGCCUCCUGAGUAGCUUGGAUUACAGGCACGUGCCACCACACCCAGCUGAUUUUUGUAUUUUUAGUAGAGACAGGGUUUCACCAUGUUGGCCAGGCUGGUCUUGAACUCCUGACCUCAAAUGAUCAGCCCGCCCCAGCCUCCCAAAGUGCUGGGAUGGGAUUACAGACGUGAGCCACCAGGCCCAGCCUAAAAUCCACAAUUAUUAAUAUGAAAUAAAUUCUCAGGCGCCCCCUUGCCUGUGGUGCACACAAUUCCUUGAAGCUGGGGUCUGUGCUGCUGCUCAUGCUUGUGGGAGCAGGGGUUUUGAGCAGACUCCUAGAAACAAAAUAUCACCUGCUGUGUUGGGUUUUGCUGGAGGCUGCAUACUCCCCUUCCAAAUGGAAUUGGGCAUCCCUCUCAUAUGAUGAAGUUAUUUCUUCCUCUGUCCCCCAUACAUGAGUGUCUUGUGCUGCUAUUAUCCCCUGCAGGAAUGAUACUAAAAUAUUAUCAACCAAAAAGGCAAAUGCAUUGGCCAAUCAGAAUGGACAUAGUGCUUGCUGGAGAAGCAUCCUGGGGUCUCUCUUCUACGCCAGUUAUUAUCCAUUUAGUAGGGAGAUCUGGGGGCUCCAGAGCAGGAACUAGGUGACAAGGUAUUUCUUAGGGGCUCAGGGGCUCCUAGGGGGCUCAGAUUUGUACAAGUUGAAUAAUUUUGUGGUUUUGUUUUUUGUUUUUUGUUUUGAGAUAGGGUCUCACUUUGUUGCCCAGGCUGGAGUGCAGUGGUGUGAACAUGGUUCACUGCAGCCUUGACCUCGUGGGCUCAAGCAAUCCUCCUGCCUUGACCUCUUGAGUAGCUGGGACUAUAGAUACUAUGUGAGGUGCUGAGGAUCCAGGUGUAAAAGUUCCUAUCUAGUGGGGCAUGCAGGCGAGGCCAUGUGAUUAGUCCUGAGAGAAAGCAUUGUGAGUCAUUUCCAAGCUGCAGUACCUACAAGCCCAUGGGAAGUUCUUCGGUUUCUCUUUCCUCUGCCAUCACAACUAAGGAACCUCAGAUGAAACCUCUUGGGCCCCUGAGUCACUGCAUGGAAGACAAUUGCCUUGUAGAAUCACAAUGGAUUUUGUGUAAAAGAGAAAUAAAUAAAGCAUUGUUUUGUUAAGCCACUG